rnacentral:rRNA from 1 species
GUGAGGAAUAUUGGUCAAUGGGCGAGAGCCUGAACCAGCCAAGUCGCGUGAAGGAAGAAGGAUCUAUGGUUCGUAAACUUCUUUUGCAGGGGAAUAAAGUGCAGGACGUGUCCUGUUUUGUAUGUACCCUGAGAAUAAGGAUCGGCUAACUCCGUGCCAGCAGCCGCGGUAAUACGGAGGAUCCGAGCGUUAUCCGGAUUUAUUGGGUUUAAAGGGUGCGUAGGUGGUUUGGUAAGUCAGCGGUGAAAGUUUGCAGCUUAACUGUAAAAAUGACAUUGAAACUGUCGGACUUGAGUGUAAAUGAGGUAGGCGGAAUGCGUGGUGUAGCGGUGAAAUGAAUAGAUAUCACGCAGAACUCCGAUUGCGAAGGCAGCUUACUAAGCUACAACUGACACUGAAGCACGAAAGCGUGGGGAUCAAACAGGAUUAGAAACCCUAGUAGUCC